UACGCUCUAAUCACGCUGAAAACACCGGUUUUCGUUCAAUCACUGAAGUUAAACAGUGUCGAGCCCAGUCAUUACUUAGAUGGGGUACCUCUUGGUAACACCGCGUACUGUAAG